UGAGAAGCAUGCACGCUGUAUCUCUCAGUGAACACUAGAGGUCGCUGUAUUUCUCUGCGCUGUGGCGUAUGACGCUUCACUCGCUCUACGGAUUCCUAUCUCAAUCAUCUCCAGCUGCAGGGAACAAACACCUCAACAGCUCUUUUACAGCGCAACAUUACAAACGGGUAAGAUUAAAUACGUGUCAACCACUGGGAUUCAAGAUAUUCUGUGUUUGGGCUCUGCUGUAACCCUGGAUCAUCCUGUGAAGAUUCAGCAAAUGCAUAAUGCCGCGAUCAAAUGAACUUCCUGAAGAGUUCAAAGAGAAGGAACGCGAUUUUUACCGGGGGAUCCCCUUGAAACGUAAGUGGACUAGUACUGGCUAGUUUUGAGCAGCAAUGGGGCAGGCUUUGUUGUGAAACCCUGGCAAGCCAAAGGAUUUCCAGUCAGCACCUGCAUAGAAACUUCAGCCCACUAAAGCUGGACGUUAGAGAAGAUCACAGAUUCCUUGCUGAAGUGGUUGGACACCCUAGAUCAGCCUUCAGCUCCAUCUGAAGUCAGCAAGCACUACUUAUAUUGAAUCUGAUUUCGAUCCUUUGUCAUUAAAUAGACAUAAAGUUGCCAACACAAAGGGUCUGUAAAUGCAUAAUGGUACGGUCAGGUGAAAUUUCAGAAGAUAUCAAAGAAAAGAUCAUUUCUUACCAUAAGUCUGGUAAGGGUUACAAAUCCAUUUCAAAGAUGAUGGGACUUCACAAAUCCACAAUCAGAUCCAUAAUCUGCAAAUGGAAAACACUUGGAACAGUGAUGAAUCUUCCCAGGAGCGGACGACCACCGAAAAUCUCUACAAAGGCCAAGCGUAAAAUCAUCAAGGAGGUCACGAAGAAACCCGAAAUAACGCCCAAAGAACUGCAAGCUUGUCUUGCCCUAGCUAAAGUCAAAGUUUCGGAAGUUACAAUCAGAAGAACACUGGGGAAAUUAGGCUAUGUGAGAGAGUAUGAAACUAAAAAACAAUGCAAAAAAGAAUAAGGUUCUUGAUGAGAAUAUUCAAUCCAAAAGUGUUUAAGGAAAUGUUUAAAGCCAAAAGGGGGGUUUUCUAUGUGAAAUGAAAAGGCCUACAGCAUCAUAAGUCAAACUCUUUGUUGUGUUCUGUAUACAGUGUUUUUCUUGCAAUGAAAAUUUUUUCAUAAAUAUUGUUAUUCCGAUGGAAAGAGAUAAAAUAUUUAAAAUAUAAA